rnacentral:rRNA from 1 species
ACAGGUGCUGCAUGGCUGUCGUCAGCUCGUGUUGUGAAAUGUUGGGUUAAGUCCCGCAACGAGCGCAACCCUUAUCCUUUGUUGCCAGCGAUUCGGUCGGGAACUCAAAGGAGACUGCCGGUGAUAAACCGGAGGAAGGUGGGGAUGACGUCAAGUCAUCAUGGCCCUUACGAGUAGGGCUACACACGUGCUACAAUGGCGCAUACAAAGAGAAGCGACCUCGCGAGAGCAAGCGGACCUCACAAAGUGCGUCGUAGUCCGGAUCGGAGUCUGCAACUCGACUCCGUGAAGUCGGAAUCGCUAGUAAUCGUGGAUCAGAAUGCCAC